rnacentral:rRNA from 1 species
UACGAAGGGGGCUAGCGUUGCUCGGAAUCACUGGGCGUAAAGAGCGUGUAGGCGCCAGACAGGUCCGUUGUGAAAACUCGAGGCUCAACCUCGAGAUGUCGAUGGAAACCGUCUGGCUAGAGUCCGGAAGAGGAGUGUGGAAUUCCUGGUGUAGCGGUGAAAUGCGCAGAUAUCAGGAAGAACACCUAUGGCGAAGGCAGCACUCUGGGACGGUACUGACGCUGAGACGCGAAAGCGUGGGGAGCGAACAGG